UGCACAAGAAACAUUUCGCUAUGUCGCUCUAUAUGUUCGUGGUGUUGUUUAUGGUGUUGCUAGCACAAGAUGGCGGCGCUGACGUCACAGGCGCCCUCUGGGAGAACUAUAGUCUUAGACAAGAGAGGAGCUCACAGCAAGCAGGACCUCUGACCGAUUUGAAAUCAUCAUGCCAAAUCGAAUGCAAGAACAACGGCACAUGCGUGGACAAUACAUGCCUAUGUCCGUUCAGCUUCUACGGCAAGUACUGCGAGAAGACAACCACUACCCAACAACUCUAACAGACGGUGCACUGCACACCAGAUUCUAACUCCUCCUAGCGGCGAUUACAACCCUGCUAGAACCAAAAGAUCCAUCCUUGUUCGAGAACCUACAAUUCGGUGUCCAGAUAGCCUUAUUUGGAACCCUAUAGCAAAAUUGUGUGUGCCUGUCGAAAAAAAUAUGUAGCUUCCUAAAGUAAAUUAUAAUUUAGUUUGUCACGAAGGAAAAGCAAGGGGUUGACAAACAGACAAACAUUGACUUCUUUUAUUUUUUCGUAUAAUUAUUGUAUAUUAAAUUAUUUUUAUUAUUUAUU
rnacentral:lncRNA from 1 species